UACGUAGGGUGCAAGCGUUGUCCGGAAUUAUUGGGCGUAAAGAGCUCGUAGGCGGUCUGUUACGUCGGCUGUGAAAACCUGGGGCUCAACUCCGGGCCUGCAGCCGAUACGGGCAGACUAGAAUUCGGUAGGGGAGACUGGAAUUCCUGGUGUAGCGGUGAAAUGCGCAGAUAUCAGGAGGAACACCGGUGGCGAAGGCGGGUCUCUGGGCCGAUAUUGACGCUGAGGAGCGAAAAGCGUGGGGAGCGAACAAG
rnacentral:rRNA from 1 species